GCCAACACUAGCCCAAAAAAACCAAAAACAUUACUACCAAAUUGAUAUGUAAAUAUAUUAAAUCAUUUACACACAUAAAAGUAUAGGUGAUAGAAAUUUAUUUUCGGCGCCAUAGAGACAGUACCGUAAGGGAAAGAGUGAAAAAAAAAAUUAAGCACAAAACAGCAGGGAUUCACCCCUAUACCUUUUGCAUAAUGAACUAGUCAGAGACUAUUUCGCAAAGAGAACUAAAGCCAAAACCCCCGAAACCAGACGAGCUACCCAAAAACAGCUAAAAGAGCGCACCCAUCUAUGUAGCAAAAUAGUGGGAAGAUUUCUGGGUAGAGGUGACAAGCCUACCGAGCCUGGUGAUAGCUGGUUAUCCAAGAUAGAAUCUUAGUUCAACCUUAAGUUUACCUACAGAACCACCAAUCCCCAUGUAAACUUAAUUGUUAUUCUAAAGAGGGACAGCUCUUUAGAUACUAGGAAAAAACCUUACGUAGAGAGUAAAAAGCCUAGCCCCCAUAGUUGGCCCAAAAGCAGCCAUCAAUUAAGAAAGCGUUCAAGCUCAACAUCAGCUAACUAAAAAAUCCCAAACAUACAACUGAACUCCUCACAUUACAUUGGAUUAAUCUAUUUAACUAUAGAAGCAAUAAUGCUAGUAUCAGUAACAUGAAUAUAUUCUCCUAUGCAUAAGCCUAAGUCAGACCGAAAAAUUUCACUGACACUUAACAGCCUAGUACUAAUAAACACAAACAAGCCAGUACUACCUAUACUGUUAACCCAACACAGGCAUGCUCCAAAGGAAAGGUUAAAAGAAGUAAAAGGAACUCGGCAAACCUAACCCCGCCUGUUUACCAAAAACAUCACCUCUAGCAUUAAUAAUAUUAGAGGCACUGCCUGCCCAGUGACACAUGUUCAACGGCCGCGGUACCCUGACCGUGCAAAGGUAGCAUAAUCACUUGUUCCUUAAAUAGGGACUCGCAUGAACGGCAACACGAGGGUUCAACUGUCUCUUACUUUCAACCAGUGAAAUUGACCUGCCCGUGAAGAGGCGGGCAUAACAUAAUAAGACGAGAAGACCCUAUGGAGCUUUAAUUUACUAAUGCAACCAAAACCUCACAAAAAUCCACGGACUUAACCCACUACUAGACCUGCAUUAUUAAUUUUGGUUGGGGUGACCUCGGAGCAUAAUUAAACCUCCGAAUAGUCCAGACCAAGACUACACUAGUCGAAGCUAACCAAUAUCUACAAUUGAUCCAAUAAAUUGAUCAACGGAAAAAGUUACCCUAGGGAUAACAGCGCAAUCCUAUUCCAGAGUUCAUAUCGACAAUAGGGUUUACGACCUCGAUGUUGGAUCAGGACAUCCUAAUGGUGCAGCAGCUAUCAAGGGUUCGUUUGUUCAACGAUUAAAGUCCUACGUGAUCUGAGUUCAGACCGGAGCAAUCCAGGUCGGUUUCUAUCUAUUCUAUAUUUCUCCCUGUACGAAAGGACAAGAGAAAUAGGGCCCACUUCACAAAGUGCCCUCCUUCCAUAAAUGACUUAAUCUCAAUUUAACAAAAAGCUACAUAUAUGCCCCAAGAGCAGGGCUU
rnacentral:rRNA from 1 species